rnacentral:rRNA from 1 species
AUUGAACGCUGGCGGCAGGCCUAACACAUGCAAGUCGAACGCGUGGCGGACGGGUGAGUAAUGUCUGGGAAACUGCCAGAUGGCUGGGGAUAACUACUGGAAACGGUAGCUAAUACCGCAUACCAUCGGAUGUGCCCAGAUGGGAUUAGCUAGUAGGGGGGGUAACGGCUCACCUAGGCGACGAUCACUAGCUGGUCUGAGAGGAUGACCAGCCACACUGGAACUGAGACACGGUCCAGACUCCUACGGGAGGCAGCAGUGGGGAAUAUUGCACAAUGGGCGCAAGCCUGAUGCAGCCAUGCCGCGUGGAUGAAGAAGGCCUUCGGGUUGUAAAGUACUUUCAGCGGGGAGGCGGUACCCGAAGAAGAAGCACCGGCUAACUCCGUGCCAGCAGCCGCGGUAAUAC